CACUUGGCACAUGUCUCUGAAACGCAAGUUUAAAUUUGAGCGGACACCUUUGGCUGAAGUUGAAGUAGUGAAAAGACUUAGAAGUUUGGUCAUUCAAAAAAGUCUCUGCAACCUGAAGAAAGCAGUUGCAAAGAAAUUACAAGGCCUUUGGAGAUUAAUGCUGUUGGAGAGGAUGCUACAUCAAUAGAGGGACAUGUGAAAGUCCUGCAGAACCAAUAUAGAAGGACACAGCCAGAGACUCACAUUGUUGAAGAUCAAAUGAGGAGGACCUUUGCCUGGAGGCAGCAGGAGAUUACUAGUGGUAUCUACAAGUGGUAGUGACUGUUGAAGAUGUCAUCACCAAAUAUCCAUUCUUGAAGAGUCCAACAGGGCUUUAUCAAGAAAUUGGUUUCCUGUAUAAAUGUGUUCAUCUGAGCCGCCAUUUUCGAGAACCUUUUGGACCCAUUACAUCCAGCGUGCUACGUCUUGCUCAAGGGAAAUCCACUUUAGCAAAGCUGCAUAAAGAAGCUAGAGAAGAAUC